UACGUAGGGUGCAAGCGUUAAUCGGAAUUAUUGGGCGUAAAGCGUGCGCAGGCGGUUGUGUAAGACAGAUGUGAAAUCCCCGGGCUCAACCUGGGAACUGCAUUUGUGACUGCACAGCUGGAGUGCGGCAGAGGGGGAUGGAAUUCCGCGUGUAGCAGUGAAAUGCGUAGAUAUGCGGAGGAACACCGAUGGCGAAGGCAAUCCCCUGGGCCUGCACUGACGCUCAUGCACGAAAGCGUGGGGAGCAAACAGG
rnacentral:rRNA from 1 species